rnacentral:tRNA from 1 species
GCGGGCCGAGGCGCUGGCCGCGCGCGGCCGGCUGGCGCCCGGCGAGGGCCGGAUGGUGCAGGCCGUCUGGUUCGACCGCGGCCCCGCC